UAUUCUCUUUUUGUUCAAUACCCGUAUAAAGUUCUCACAUUUAAGUCUUAACUCUUUCUUUUUCCUUUUGUUUUCCUGUUUCACUAAACCAUGUCUUCUGAAAUUUGAUUUGAACCGCAGAAAGAUUUGGGUCUCUCUGCUUUCUCUUCCGCAUCGCCGCUCUCCAGUCAGAAAUGCAAGAGAACAUCGAAGACAGUCUGUUCGGUCACUGCACCAAAACAAUCAGAGCGCAAGCCUGCCACUACUGGCUCGGUCAAGACGGGAAUGACGAUGACUGAGAAGAUAUUUGCUAGAGCUUCUGAGAAAACCCAGUUGAGCCCCGGUGAGAAUGUUUGGGUCAACGUCGAUGUUUUGAUGACCCAUGAUGUUUGUGGC